rnacentral:pre_miRNA from 1 species
AACUACCCUGUCGAACUGCCACAGUUCGACAGGCACAUGUCGAACUGAUAUUGUUCCACAGGUACCCCUAUCGAACUACGGUUGUUCGACAGGGUG